UCAAGAUUUAAAACUUUACUAGAAUUUUAUUAAAAUUUAACAUUUAAUUAGGAUUUGAUUAGAAUUUAAUUAAGAUUUAGGAUUUGAUUAUGAUUGGACUAAGAUUUUAUUAAGAUUUAAUUUGGAUUUAGAACUUGAAUAGAAUUUAAUUAGAAUUGGUCUAGGAUUAAGAUUUAGUAUUUGAUUAGGAUUGGAUUUAAGAUUUGAAUAGGUUUUAUUAGGGUUUGAUAUAGAAUUAAGAUUUAAAGUUUUAUUAAGAUUUAUUUAGAAUUUUAUUGG
rnacentral:lncRNA from 1 species